AUGCAAUCAAACAUGCCGGCUUUCAAAACUGCUCUCGGCAUGCAAGUGAAACCCAGCAAGAGGGCAAAGAAGAAUAAACCGUCCCAAGACCCGAUUGUAACUGAACCGGUGAUUAAUAUGUCUGCUCCAGACAGCUCUACCCAUCAGCCGCCGCCUGAACCGGCUUCUGAUAUUCCAGCGCCAACCUCUGAUCCACCCGCCGAAGAUACUCUCAACAGUUCUGAUAACCCGGAGACUCCUAGCCCGGUCAAGACAAAUGACCCGGAAGUUGAGAUUGUGAGGUCUCAGUUUGUUGAACCAGGGCGGCCUACCAUCCUUGCCAAAUGUACUGCCAAGGAAGAACUUGUAGAACACCGAAAAGCCAAGCAGGACAUUACUGAUUAUACUCACUUAAGCAUUGGUGAUAUAGUCUCGGGCUAUCUGAAUCAAGUGCAUAAUAGCCGUGACCUGGAAAUUGACAUGGUAUAA
rnacentral:rRNA from 1 species